AGUGAACGCUGGCGGUAGGCCUAACACAUGCCAGUCGAACGGCAGCACAGUAAGAGCUUGCUCUUACGGGUGGCGAGUGGCGGACGGGUGAGGAAUACAUCGGAAUCUACUUUUUCGUGGGGGAUAACGUAGGGAAACUUACGCUAAUACCGCAUACGACCUACGGGUGAAAGCAGGGGAUCUUCGGACCUUGCGCGAUUGAAUUAGCCGAUGUCGGAUUAGCUAGUUGGCGGGGUAAAGGCCCACCAAGGCGACGAUCCGUAGCUGGUCUGAGAGGAUGGUCGGCCACACUGGAACUGAGACACGGUCCAGACUCCUACGGGAGGCAGCAGUGGGGAAUAUUGGACAAGGGGCGCAAGCCUGAUCCAGCCAUACCGCGUGGGUGAAGAAGGCCUUCGGGUUGUAAAGCCCUUUUGUUGGGAAAGAAAAGCAGCAGGUUAAUACCCCGCUGUUCUGACGGUACCCAAAGAAUAAGCACCGGCUAACUUCGU
rnacentral:rRNA from 1 species